rnacentral:rRNA from 1 species
UACGAGGGGGGCGAGCGUUGUUCGGAAUUAUUGGGCGUAAAGGGUGCGUAGGCGGUUUGGUAAGUCUGAUGUGAAAUCUAUGGGCUCAACUCAUAGUCUGCAUCGGAAACUGCCGGGCUUGAGUAUGGGAGAGGUGAGUGGAAUUCCUGGUGUAGCGGUGAAAUGCGCAGAUAUCAGGAGGAACACCAAUGGCGAAGGCAGCUCGCUGGGACGGUACUGACACUGAGACGCGAAAGCGUGGGGAGCAAACAGG